UCGGUGGCGGAGGUGACGGCGGCCUCCAUCUUAAAGGGCUGCGGGCGUCCCGGACGACGGCCCCAGGCCCUGCUCACGCUGCUCUCAAGCACUGCCCGUCACCCAUCAAACGCUGUGACUGCGCCCACCUCGUGGGAAGGACGCCGCGAUCCCGCUAAAAGCCCCUCGGCCUCUGCCGGCCCGAGGGCACCCUUCCCCUGCCUGCUUCCGAGGGCGGACUCCAUUCCUCUGGAGUUGGUGUUUCCGGGUGGGCCAGCCUCCAACCACCUUUGAAUAAACCCCCCUUACAUUAGAUUCUGACCCUGUGUGAUUUUAGGUUGGGAUCUGGGCGCCUGCAGAUGGGCCCGAAGCCAGCCUCCUGUGAUCCGAGCCACUUCUCUGGCACUCGGAGCGCUGGCACCCGCGGAGCGGCCUUGGCUCACCCGACCGCCUGGGAACUGAUCGGGGUCUCUGGCAGCCUCCCAGGGCCGAGGUUCAGACUGUUCCGCCUACCCAGGUCCACACCUGAUGGGGCUGGAGUUGAAGCUUGGUUUUAAGGCAGAGAGUCAGCUGUUUGCAGGUGUGUGGUUACACUGCCCUUCGACGUUAAGGUUUUGUUCGUCUUGCUAACGUUUGCAACCUUUUUUCUCCUUCAGAUUUGGAGAAGGGGAAAACAGUUUCUCUUUGAAAAGAGGAAACGAAUCGUGGCUUAAGCAAAAUUUGUAAUCUUUAAAACUGGCCAGGCUCUGGAGCUGAGUUCAAGUGACAUGUCUAAACUUUCUUCUUGAGUGACCAGAUUUUCCCUUACAGGCUUUUGUCACUUAAGAGAACUCAUGUUAUA